rnacentral:rRNA from 1 species
CCUACGGGCGACAGCAGUAGGGAAUAUUGCUCAAUGGGGGAAACCCUGAAGCAGCAACGCCGCGUGGAGGAUGAAGGUUUUCGGAUUGUAAACUCCUUUUGUUAGAGAAGAUAAUGACGGUAUCUAACGAAUAAGCACCGGCUAACUCCGUGCCAGCAGCCGCGGUAAUACGGAGGGUGCACGCGUUACUCGGAAUCACUGGGCGUAAGGAGCGCGUAGGCGGGUUAGCAAGUCAGAUGUGAAAUCCUAUGGCUUAACCAUAGAACUGCAUUUGAAACUGUGAUUCUAGAGUAUGGGAGAGGGAGGUGGAAUUCUUGGUGUAGGGGUAAAAUCCGUAGAGAUCAAGAGGAAUACUCAUUGCGAAGGCGACCUGCUAGAACAUAACUGACGCUGAGGCGCGAAAGCGUGGGGAGCAAACAGGAUUAGAUACCCGAGUAGUC